GGCAAGUCCCCCCGCGAUGAUAGAUCGUGAACCCCGUCAGGCCCGGAAGGGAGCAGCGGCAGCGGUUGAUUCAGGCGCCGGGGUGUGGCUUGUCGGG
rnacentral:SRP_RNA from 1 species